rnacentral:rRNA from 1 species
CAUGUGGGGCAAGCGUUGUUCGGAAUUACUGGGCAUAAAGGGUGCGUAGGCGGCUUGUUAAGUCAGGGGUGAAAGUUUUCGGCCCAACCGGAAAAUUGCCUUUGAUACUGGCGAGCUCGAGUGCGUGAGGGGUAACCGGAACGAGUGGUGUAGCGGUGAAAUGCGUAGAUAUCACUCGGAAGGCCAAAGGCGAAGGCAGGUUACUGGUACGCAACUGACGCUGAGGCACGAAAGCGUGGGGAGCAAACAGGAUUAGAUACCCUGGUAGUCCACGCCGUAAACGAUGAGCACUAGGUAGGUGCCGAGCUAUUCGGUGCCUGCCGCAGGUAAUUUGGUAAGUGCUCCGCCUGGGGAGUAUGGUCGCAAGGCUG